UUUGUUUACUUAGCAUUUGACAACUCGGAUUUUGCAAAAUGGUUGAAGAAUAAGUUAUUGUUGUAUCUUUUCUUAAUAAAAGCAUUCGAUGAUUACCGUUAUUAGUUUAAGCAUUUAUUGUUGUGUUUCUUUACAAAUGACUUUAUGUUAAACUCAUUCUAUUUUGUGUCGACGUGUACUUAUCGAUGACUUUAAGUGCAGACUGAUUUACCCCACCCGCUAAUGUUGAACUUGUAGUUGUUCUACUUCCAAAUGUUAUGAUUGAACAAUACUUUACCUCGAAAUUGUUGAUUAUAACAUCGUGAUCAUGAAAAAGAAUAUGACAUCAUUAUGUUGUUUGUGUUUGCUAUUUUUAAACAAGUUAUUGUAUUGGUUAGUUAUGUAGAUGCUGAGUAAUGGUACCUUAUGUAUUUAAUAAUUGUAGAAAAAUCAGCUUAAUUGUUUCUAUAUUGUUCUCAUUUGAUUACAAUGUUGUUCGAUCGGUCAUUGUCAGCUCGGAUACUACUUACCUGUACCCCGGGUACUCUUUAAGUAUACUUACAUGUAGAGCUAACCCUGUUACAGUUAAUUAUUAACUUAAUUGUCUUUAAUAUAGCCGGCAAUUUAAUGCUAAAUGGGUUGUUGUAGGCUUAAUUUUUUUAAUUAUGUUCACAUUAAUGUCAUUUUUUUUUCUCAAAUAGUCUUUAUAUCAUCGAAAUUUAUACUCAAAAAGCAUAUUGAUGCAGUUUUUUCAAAAGGUAAGUUUAAUUUAGAUAAACAAUAUGGCUUUACAUUUAUCUGUAGUGCACUGUACCACAUCGAAUUUUGGGCAAUAAUACAACUCGGGUACAGUCUAAUAAGGACCGGGUACGUUUAAGUAUAUUAACCUUACCCGAGGUACAUGCAAGUAUGCUUAAUGAUACCAGGGGUACAUGUAAGUAGUACCCAAGCUGUGAAUAACCAGUCGAGCGUGAGUAAAGUAGAUUGUACCUUAAGUCUUUAAUAAUUGCAGAACAAUUACCUUAUUUAUUUCUAUAUUGUUUCCAUUUGAUUACAAUUUAUUUAUUUGUCAAAUUCAAUUCUGCAGUGCUAUAAAUAUGCACCCCCAUCCCAAAAAUUUAUUUCGUGCAUAUUGAUGGGGCUUUUUUAUUUAUUUACUCCAUUUCUGCAUUCCUCCCUUUUGUGUUGGUAAUGUGAACAUGAAAUGAUGAGCACUUUCAUGUUAAUGAAUAACUUUUAAUUUUUUUUAUAGAUUUUGGCAUAUUGCAUAUUGCCAAGGGAGAUGUUUACUGAGGAUUCCAUGCCAUUAAUAUGCAGGCUGUUGCUGAUGCCAGCAUGAGCAAUAUCUGAGCACCAAUGAUGAGGGUCAUCUGCUGGGAGAUAGUGGGUAUCUGUUAAGGACUAACCUGAUGACCCCUUAACCUCAUCCCUCCCAUGCUGCGGAACAGGCCUACAAUGACCAUCUAUGCAGAGGAUAUCUGCAUGCCACUGGUGGAUGUUGGCCUUUCAAGUCCAAUAAGUGCUGUGAAAUAUCAACUGUGUACAUGCCCCUGCAUAACCUGUGUCUGGAUUCAAACGUUCCACUGAUAGAGGAAUUGGUUGGAAAUGAGAUGGAACCGGAAGUUAUGAACAACACACCAGUACAUCGAGCAGCAUGUGAUAAGAGGCAGCAGCUGAUCAAACUGUUUCAUAAAAUGUGUUAAAAAUUUAUAGUUAUAAAUGUUAUAAAGUGA